GGGAGUUUGGUCUAGUGGUAUGAUUCUCGCUUAGGGACCUUCCUAGCAUGCGAGAGGUCGUGGGUUCAAUUCCCGCAACUCCCC
rnacentral:tRNA from 1 species